UCCAAAGCAAUUACAAGGGAGUCUUGGAUGACUGAGCUUCCUCCCGAAAUGAAAGACUUUGGUCUUGGGCCAAGAGCUUUUAAGAGAAGAUCCGAUGACAAGUCUGGAGAUCGAUCGAUUUGGACAGAUACUCCAGCUGACAGAGAAAGGGGGGCUAAGAUGGAGAAACUAAUCUCUAUAAGGUCAACUUUUCUGGGAUCACAGAGCUGGUAAGUGAUGCACAAAAAUUCCAUUCUAGACUUUUUCUCUAUCUCCAGAUUCCCUUGUUUUUAUGCAGUAUCAUACUAUCUCCAUGAAAAUGUGUCUUUUAAAAUACCUCGAUAGAACCAAAGCUGCAGAAUAACCCAGCAAGUUAAAUGAUACAUAGAGACUGUCUCUAAUUGCUGUAUCUCAGGUGUACCAAGUUUCAUGUUACUGUUAAUGCAUCAAACUCAGGAACCUGCAAAUCAACCAGAUGUCAGUAAGCAAGGGGAAUAUCCUCUUUUAUUAUUUUUAGAUUUUCUCCUCUUGAAUCUUUCAGUUUAUUAUGAAAUAUUUCACUGUAAUCUAGGAAUUGAACCAGUGCCCCAGCACUGCUCCUUAAGUUUACUCUAUCCAGAGGUCUUUAUCCCCUUAGUCCCUUUUCUUUUGAGUUUUUCAGCUAAUUUCAUGUCAUAGUAGGAAAUAAAUCCUCCGUCUUCAUCUUUUGCUCUCCCAGGAAGUCAGUGAACUGAUUGUCUUUUUUGGGCUUCCCCUCCAGUGGAUUCCCUGCUGCACUGGAAGCCUCUGCACCUAUCUCUUUUGCUUUGCUGCUGCUGUGUUUAGAUGAUUGGACGGAUAAUUUGUGCUAUGCAGGAUUUUUUUAAACCUGUAGAUUAAAAAAUCACUAAUGAAACUAUGUGCAUGCAAUAUAAAAAUCCAGUAGCACCUAAGGAGCUUAAAUCUUGGUUCCUAUAAAACUGCCAAUUGAUGUGGUAUUAAUAAAAAUAAAAAUUAAAAAUGUCAUAUGGCUUAAAAUCACUAAGUUCAAACUGCACUGCCUAGUUUGCACUUGUUGUAUUUUUCUGUGAUAUUUUCCUCUUAGGAUGGGACAUCUCCUUAAGAUGUCCCAGUCAAGUCUUAAAUGCUUGACUGAUUUUCACCCUGUGAUAGCAGCUUCAUUGGUACUGAUCUAAACAGUCCAUACCGUAAUUCAUUGCCGUAACCCUGUUUAUCCUGUCCACAAGUCUAGGAUUAUCAGGAUUUCUAUUUUCAUUCUGUACCCCUAAAUUAAAUACCUACUCUGCCAAGCAUUGUGCUUGGUUGUGAGUGGAGAACUGUUUGUAAAUUGAUGGCAUUAUUCUUAAAAUGUACAUAGUAUGUUGAAGUCUCCACAUUGUAGUACCCUACCCACCCUACGUAUGUGGCAAUUCAUAAAUUCUCUUUUGUUCUGAAGAUUGAAAGAAAUCUGAGAUUUGUACUAGAGGUAAACCAGUGCAUUGGAGCAGGAGAUUCAGAAAAGAUGUGGGGUAGAACUGAGCCUCAUGCCUUGAAAGGCUAGAGUUGGAAUGCUUUUUGUCUACACUUCCUUAGCUGGUGUUUUAUAAGAUAAUAUAUUGGAGAUUUUAUAAUUUAGCCUAUAAAAUUGUCUCCAUAAAAAUAAUGGUGAUAAUUCCCUUGCUUACAUGGACUUUUUAUUUGGCCUACAUUUAUUUGUGCCUUUUUCUUUCCUGUCCCUGAUUAUAUAUGAAUAGCUGUCUAGCCUAAGAGUGUUCUUCAGAGGAAAAUACCACAGAAAAAUGUAACAAGCACAAACUAGGCAGUAUAGUUUGAACUUAGGUGGUUUUAAAGCCUUAUGACUGAUUCUUUAGACCUGGUCGUUCUUCUUUUCAGUGCUGAAAAGGCUUUGUUCAGUAUUUACAAUAGACUAGUAAAGGAAUUAUUAAUAGCCUUUACAUUUUAAAUGAUACUGUAUCAUAGCCUAUAGUAUCACAGAAGUAUAUUUUUGUCAUAAUCCGUAUGGUAUCGCAGAGCUAUUUGAUUUCUGAUGUCUUUGAUCCCACGUAAAGUUCAUGACUAAUUUCUAUAACAGAUCUUAGCCAAAUAUCCUUCUUGAUAAGUUCUUCAUUCACUUUGUCUUUCUUUUUUAUAUGUGACUACCCAGCAAGAAGUAAGAUUGCUCUUUAGAAAGAAAUGGAAGUGCUCUACAUAAAUUAAUUGAAUGAGAUCUGUUAUUUCCUCACCUCCCAGUCUUGACUAGAUCUACUGCAUCUUAAUAUUAAAUAUUCUGGUAUUUAUUUCCAUUUUACUAUAAUAUCAUUUUCCCCUUCAUAUUUUCAAGAAAAAGCAUCUGUUCUCUGGGGACAUUUCUAGGGAAAAAUAAGAAGUGAGCUAUUCCUACAAUUUUAAGGAAGUUUAUUAAAUACAAUGUUUUAGGCCAUUAUUCGGAUAAAAAUUAUAUGAGGGGCUCUGGUUUUCUAAGCAAAUAGCAGUAUAAAAAUAUGCUUUGUCUACUUGGAACCAGAACCCGGGAGCAAAGGACCAGCCGACACCAGCUAUAUGCCUUCCGAGAUGACCGGUGUUCCAAAUGCCAUCGGCCUUUCUUCAGUGAAGAAAGGAUGAUCACAGUAGACUCCACAUUCGAUGGAUCACCUGCAGGAGGACCUGGGAGGGUUUUGAAAGCUCAGGUUUCUGAGACCAAUGUUGGAAAUUUGGAUUCACAAAAUCUGUGACGGAGCUCAGAUGUCUGGAUUUCUCUUCAUCCAGUCAGGGUCGGAGACCAGUGGUCUUCAAAUAUUUUUGCUUAGUGGCCCUGACGAGAAAUUUGAAAAACUAUGUUUCUGCUUACGCAGUUUUAAUUUGAGAUCAUAAGAUGAAAAACCAUCAUAAGAUGAAAUUGCCAAAGAUGAAAUUUAUAGCAUGUUACGUCACUCUAUUAAAUGUUUCAAAUGGCACCUAAAUAGCCAUAGAAAUUCUGUGUCUACUAUUAUUCAUUAAAAAUAUAUACAUGAGCAAGUUCUUCUUUAACUGUUGGAAAUUUUAUUUCAUCCUUUUCUUCUUGAAUUCAUCUAUUCAUUUCUGUUCUGCAGAAUUUUAUCCUAAUGGGAUUCACUUGUAUGCUUGAAAGUCUUUUAUGAUUAUAUUGAUAAAGUAUACUUCACUGCAGUAAAAAUAUACAUAUGAAUUUAAAUUUCCUGAUUAAAUGUUAACACCUUUUUUUCCUUCUGGAUUGAGUUGCAAUUUCAGUUGAUCAAAGCAAUAUAACUAUACUGCACAUUUUGACAAAUAACUAUUAAAUGUAAAAAGUAAAAUGUAAAUUUAAUCUCUUAAUGAGAGCUUUUUUUUUCCCCAAUUAGGUCCUGAUCUUUGGAUAAAUGUUACUUAUUCCUAGAAUGAGAUGGAUAGAUUUCAUCAUUGAUUGUGUUCUUUGUUUUUAUAGUUCUAAGAGUUAAGAAACAUUGUUUUCAUAAACAAGUGGAUGGGAAUGGAGCAUGUUUUGUUAUAGCACUGUCAUUCAGUUCUUUGAACAACUUCUGAGUUAUUUUCUGAAACCUCAUAGUGAUCUAUUAACACAAAUUAUUGCUAGUGAUCUCUCAGCUGUCCAUUCAUUAGGACCUCUCUGAAGUUUUUUUUCCCCCCCACAUUGGUCACAUUAGUUUAUCCUCUCAAUCUUUCCUUCCAGACCUAUAUAAGGGAAAUAAUUACAUUUAACUUAACAGAGAUUGUGAAGCUACAAUAUAAUAAAAGUUCAAUAAAUCUGACACUUAGCUUUUAUUAAGUGAUUCUUACAUACUCAACACUGUGUAAAUAUUUGAAUUCAUUAGAUCAUUUAACUCCUCUCUUUAUCCAAAUAUUUUGAAAUUACUCCUAUUAUUGCCAUCAUUUUCCAGCUUUGAAAAUGAGGCUUAAAUUACUUUCUCAAGGUUGCCAAGACCAGCUCCUAACAAUUCACACUAUAUGUAUUGAAGCCUUUUUUCCUUAGCAAUCAAUAUUUGAUUUUUUUUAAUCUCCUUCAAUUUUUUUGAAAAUAAAGAACUGUAAAGUGCUUGACUUGCAAAUCAAUUUGUUUCUAAAAGAGUUCACCAAGAUUUAUAAAAUGACCAAGAGGUACUUUGCUUAACCCAGUAUGUUGAGUAGGGAUUGAAAGAAUGGAAAGAGUGCUAGCUUAAAUACUUAUUUACUGAUAUCAUAUCUUUUGUACAUUCUGUUAAAACUUGGAAUUCCACAUUGAAUUCACUUUAUGGAGAAUAUCUGCCACAUAACCUGGCUGACAAAAUCAGUUCUUGAAUCAGCCAGGUCAGACUUACUUAUGGCAGAAAGUCUAACUUGAUUUUUCCAUUCAAAUAAAUGUGUUAAUGAUCAUUCCUAUGAAUGAAUUCUAAAGUAGGUAAGUAGGGACCAUGAGUUGUCUUCUGAGUAAAAUAAGUUGCUGCUACCUUCAACAUUUAUCUUACCAGUUCCUUACUAUUUUGCUUUCACUGAACUCUUUGACUUCUUUGCUUUUUAGAUAUUCUUUAACAGUGGUCAGGGAGUGGAAGAGACCUGGUUGUGAAGCAGAAGUUGUCCUUUCUUCCCUUGCCUCACUCUUCAGUACAUCUGAAUUCAGAACAUUCCAGUAAGAGCCAAAAUACCCAUUUCUAAAGGGGCACUACACUCUGAAGAGAAAUAUGUUUAAGAGACAGAAGUACACACAGCCCUCCUGGUUUAGCGUUCCUUGAUUAAAGGAAGUUUCACUCAUUUCAGUAUUUCAAAUUAUCCCUCUGUUUGACACCUUGGAGGCUUUUAUUCCCCUAGAUGAUAUUCUGUAUUAAGAUUCUGAAUGGGGGAGUAGUGUGCCUCUCCUUUGUUAAGCGGGAAAAGGGCUGUCAUGAAAGAGCAGGCAGCAUCGUGAGAUGCAUUGCUAGGCAAAAUCAACUUUUAGAAAACCUACCCGUGCCUUCAUGGACUCCACAGUCUGUGACACUGGGGGAUAGAUACAUAGACCCAGUUUGGAGAGUGCUAGUCUGAACCACCUGCAUCUACUCCAACCCCUCACGGCCUCUGCAGUCCAGUGCCAUUGUGAUUUUUCCCUUCAGCAGUACUGAAAGGUCUAUAAUGAAUCCCUAAUUUAUCAAACCUAUUGCCUUUGCUGAGGCCUCAUUCUAUUAGAUACAUCUGAUAAGUUGAACAUUUAUACCCCAACUAAGAAUGAAGAAAAGGAGAGAGGUAAGGGAAAAAGAGAAAGAAAAGAAAACUGAAAGGAACAAAAAGUCCCUUAGCUUAUGAAAUCUAAGCAGCAUACACUGCACAGGCUUUGAAUUUUGCCCCUUCCGUGCCCUUGUUUUUCGGUUUUGCCCAGAUUAUGCUUCAGCCUCACAGUCCCCUUUCCUUCCCAUCCCAUCCACCUGUGAGAAUCCAGUUCGGGCUCCCAGGACCAGCCCAUCCAUGAAGCUCUCACCAGGCUCCCAAGUGAGAAUGUAAUUGCCCUUCUUUCCACGUUCAUGUCUUGGUUCAUGCUCUGAUUCUGACAUGUCACAUGAUGUUUUUCAUGCUGGUGAUUUAAAUGUUUGUUUCCUCUCUGUCUUGCUCUUGUUUCAUUUCCUGGCAUCUAGUUAGUUGGCGUCUAGUUAGUAGACAUCUUCAUCCUGGUUGAACUGAAUUUGCCUCCGAUACAUAUUUUCUUCAUAGCUUCUGUCUUGGAUUUGGAAAAAUCUAUUGGGGUUUAUAAAUAAGCCUCCUUAAUGUGCACAGCUAUUACGUAAUUAUUUUGUUUCAUGGUCAUAUUCUGUUAAUGAUCAGUAGAAACUAAGAUUUGUAUUUCUGCUCACCUACUCUCCCCAGGACUCAAAAAGAUCAGAACCUCUUAUGGAAAUACAUCAUAAAAAAUUAAAGAAUAAGACUGCUGAAGAUAAAAAUAAGCCCCAAGAGAGAAUACCAUUUGACGGUGUUAAGGACCUCAAGGUUAAUCGGUUUGAUGAUGCUCAGAAAAAAGCUCUAAUAAAGAAAUCUAGACAAUUAAACACCAGAUUUUCACGUGGCAAAGGCAGUAUGUGUUUUUAUAAGUAAGUAUAUUUCAGUGAAGUAUAUUUUCAUACUGGUGAAUUUGAAUUUUUCUAAAUACUCUAUCAUCUUAUAUAUAGAUAAUUGUAUGCUCAAAUUAGUUUCCUUUUAUAAUAAAGUAGGUUAUAAACUGACAUAUCUUUAUAAAUAAACUGAUUUUUGGAAAUUCAGCCUUGUGGAGUAAAAAAUGUGGUUUUUGGAAAAGUAAACUUGUCCUCAUAAUCACAUAUCAGGGCACUGAUAUUAAAAUGCUAAAAUAAAAGCUUUGCUUUUAAGAAAUGCUAAAAGAGAGUGCAGUUUGAAGCUAGGAUAAAUAUGCAUGCUUUGUUAAAAAAUGAAGAAAGAUGGUUUAGUGGUAGUCUUGUUAGGUUAAACAAGAUCACGAAUAGAAAAUGCUCAUUGCUUUGAAAAGUUCUAUAUAAGUUUCAAAACAUUCCGUCACUUAUCCAUAGCCCAAUCUGACAAGUGUUAGCAAGGGUGAUUUAGGAACUAUACUAAGAGCUGAGGCUGCUUCUUAAAAUCUUUAUGAUUUUUAGUUUUAUGAAACCUACAUUGAUAUUCAAAUUGGUUAUAAGGUAAAAUACAGUUAAAGUUAGAAAUAUUUUCCAACUUAAUGAAUUUUCUUAUUCUUACUUCGGGGGAUUUCCCUGUGCAAUGAAGAAAAAUUGAAGAAUACUCUUAUCUCUCUGUCUGACUACCUUUAUUCCUUUGCUUGGGGUGUCUUAAGAUUAGAGAUUACUUUUUAUAAACUAUACAAAUUUAUCUUGUUCUGUGUGUCCUUUAAGGUCAUAUGGGAAUAUAAAAAUUAAUAUUUCUGGUAUAAAAUGGAAUAUUUUAUAUGUCUUUGUCUUCUGAGGAAGCCUGGGCUUUUCUUCAAAUAAUUAUUUUGAGUUUUGUUGGUUUGUCUGUCUGUCUGUUUUUCCCCUGAUCUUUGUGGGGUUAAGUCAAAUCAUGGUACAAAUUCUCCUAGCAAUAGUGGAGCAAUGGUAUUUUCCAUAACAUCAGUGUAAACAAUGAAAAGGAGCAUUGCUAUUUAAGAGAUGAAUUAUUCUCCUAAGCACAUGUAAAAGCUUCUUGUCUAAGCAAGAUUGAACAGAGCUACUUUCUGACUAAAGAUGCCGUAUCUAGUCAGUAGUAUUUUCUGAAAAUAAAACGGUACAGGAACAGCCAUUGCUUUUGUUUAAUUCUGUUUUAAUUUUUUUCCCAACGAAAGGAAGAAAUAUCCACAAAUUCCUCAUCUUUAUAUAAAUUAACAUUUUUCUGAAAUUUGUUAUUUUUUAAAGUAAAAAUGCCAUCUUUGAGUACUCUAGCUUUGUAUUCCUCAUCAUAAGGGGGAAAGGUAAUAUUUCUAUAUUACGUAGUUACUGUUUCUUCCCUCAGACUUGGAUUGGAGUGUCCGUGACCUUGGCAAAAGGGAGAGAAGCCUCUUCUUUCUGCUUGUUAUUUUCCAUUAGUUACUGCCUUUUUGGUACUUUGGGUCCACUGUUCUUUCAUGCUACCCUGAGCACACUUUUAACAAAAGGUAAAGCCAGUCCCAGGGUUGGUUGUUUUUGUUUUUGUUUUUUGCCCCUAUAGAGACAUUAAUCCUAACAACGAUGACCAAGUAAAAGUAAAGGACUGGAAAGAUGACUCAACUGAGUCAAGUCUCCAUUCCAUCUGUCAGAAAACUGGGACUGUUGACCUUUUCUAAUAAGAGCUUUUUAAAUUUCCUACAUUUCAUGGCCAAUCUUUAUAGGACUGAACUCUUUUGAAAUUUAAAAAUGAAGAACAAAAUAGCAACACUAAGUUCGUGAAAUAGAGCAGAUCCUUUAAUGUUCUUUACUGUUGAAGGUGCCACUGAAGCUCAUUGCACUUGAAAAUGUGUGACUUUGUCCAGUUCUCUAAAUUGUCAUCUCAGAUUGCAAUGUUUUGAGUUGUAGCCACUUUCUAGGUAAGUAAACAGUGGCUUUAGCAGGUGGGAUUUUCUUUCUUUCUUUCUUUCUUUCUUUUUUUUUUUUUUUUUUUU